rnacentral:rRNA from 1 species
AGUGAACGCUGGCGGUAGGCCUAACACAUGCAAGUCGAACGGCAGCACAGUAAGAGCUUGCUCUUACGGGUGGCGAGUGGCGGACGGGUGAGGAAUACAUCGGAAUCUACUUUUUCUUGGGGGAUAACGUAGGGAAACUUACGCUAAUACCGCAUACGACCUACGGGUGAAAGCAGGGGAUCUUCGGACCUUGCGCGAUUGAAUGAGCCGAUGUCGGAUUAGCUAGUUGGCGGGGUAAAGGCCCACCAAGGCGACGAUCCGUAGCUGGUCUGAGAGGAUGAUCAGCCACACUGGAACUGAGACACGGUCCAGACUCCUACGGGAGGCAGCAGUGGGGAAUAUUGGACAAUGGGCGAAAGCCUGAUCCAGCCAUACCGCGUGGGUGAAGAAGGCCUUCGGGUUGUAAAGCCCUUUUGUUGGGAAAGAAAAGCAGCAGGUUAAUACCCCGCUGUUCUGACGGUAGCCAAAGAAUAAGCACCGGCUAACUUCGUG